rnacentral:lncRNA from 1 species
CACCCAUUUACUAAACUAAUUCUUGUUCUGUGAACCGUGGAGUACCGCCACCUGUAGGAUACCUCACACCAAGUCAUUCCUCUUCCCUGAAGCACACUGCCUCCCACAACUGUGAGCAGGCGUGUUCUCCAGCUGUAAUUGAACUGACCAAAGACAGAUUAACAGGAGAAAAGCAGACAGCAGUUUAUUAGCAGAUGUUCACAGUUUCACACCUUGAGAUGGUGGAGACCACCAGGCUCUUCUAGUCCACACGUCUCUCCAGCUUGACAUCCUCCCAGUGGAUGCUCCAGCGCAUAACCUCCGGGAGCACGGGUUAAAGCAACAGUCGCCAGUGGUGUCCUGUUUGACACAGUGUGUCCUCUUUCCUCCACUAACUGCUACCUUUAGGAGUAAAAGCUCUAAGAAAAUCUCCUUGUGGCCUAUGAUUUCUCAGUAGCCAGAAAGCUCAUUAAUACUCUCUUCACUUCCUGUUAAGGAUCCACGGUAGGCAUGAUUUUACAUGCAAUCAACAUCCUCUUGUCCAAUGUCAUUAAUACCCAUAAGGGAAGAUAUAAGAAAGACUUUCUGUGAAGUUAGGAAGCAUAGUCCUCAAGACUAUCCUUAUUUCUAACACCGAUUGCAAGCAUGAGGUUUCCGAAGACCACCCUCGGGUUUGACAAAUCACUAGAAGGAUCUAUGAACUUAUUGAAAGCUGUUAUACUCACAGUAUGGUUCAUCACAGGGAAAGAAUACAGAAUAAAUUCAGCCAGGAAAGAGAUCCAUAGGGCUGAGUCAGGGAGGGUUCCUAAUGUGAAGCUUUCAUUUUCUUUAGAAUGGAUUGUAUUACCCUCCUGGCAUCAACAUGUGACAAUACGGGCAGAAUACUGCCAACCAGGGAAGCUCAUCUGAGCUUUAAUGUCCAGAGCUUUUAAUGCGGCACCACAUUGGACUUUGCACACGGCUGACCUUUAGUCUCCAGCUCAUUGGAGGCUGAGUGGACACCUUACGGCCUACAGAGAAUUUCUAAAGGAAAAAGAACUCGAUGUAAAACUUGUGUGUGUAUUUGUGUGUGUGUGAGAGAGAGAGAAAGAGGGAGAUGUUCUUUUUGAUUUGUUGUUGUAUCUUAUUUAAUAAGGAAGUUAAAACCUAUUUUAUUAAAUCAUGUCAAAAGAUAUAUCUCCAAAAGCAG